GUCUUUGUAGUAUAUAAAUACUUUGGUCUUGUAAACCGAAAAAGGAGGGUCCCACUCCUCCCUAAGACU
rnacentral:tRNA from 1 species